CAGGUAGAGGAAUGUCUGCGACUAAGCCGAGGGCCACUUGAUAAGGGUUGUUGAUGGCAAAACAGGUAGAGGAAUGUCUGCGACUAAGCCGAGGGCCACUUGAUAAGGGUUGUUGAUGGCAAAACAGGUAGAGGAAUGUCUGCGACUAAGCCGAGGGCCACUUGAUAAGGGUUGUUGAUGGCAAAACAGGUAGAGGAAUGUCUGCGACUAAGCCGAGGGCCACUUGAUAAGGGUUGUUGAUGGCAAAACAGGUAGAGGAAUGUCUGCGACUAAGCCGAGGGCCACUUGAUAAGGGUUGUUGAUGGCAAAACAGGUA